rnacentral:rRNA from 1 species
AUUGAACGCUGGCGGCAGGCCUAACACAUGCAAGUCGAACGGAUGCAGGGAGAUAGCUUCUGGUUACAGCGGCCGACGGGCGAGCGAGGCCUAGAAAUCUCCCUGUUAGUGUGGGCGAACGUCAGGACGCGGGGGAACUUACCGCAAACGUCCAGAGGGCCAACGGGGGAGAUCAUCGGACCUCCCGCCCUCAGCCGAGCCUAGGUCGGCUUAGCUAGUUGGUGGGGUAAAGGCCUACCAAGGCGACGAUCCGUACCUGGUCUGAGAGGAUGAUCAGUCACACUGGAACUGAGACACGGUCCAGACUCCUACGGGAGGCAGCAGUGGGGAAUAUUGGACAAUGGGCGCAAGCCUGAUCCAGCCAUGCCGCGUGUGUGAAGAAGGCCUUCGGAUUGUAAAGCCCUUUUAUUGGGGAGGAAGGGCAGUAGGUUAAUACCUUGCUGUUCUGACGGUACCAACAGAAUAAGCACCGGCUAACUUCGUG